AAAGUCUGAUGGAGCAACGCCGCGUGAGUGAUGAAGGUUUUCGGAUCGUAAAACUCUGUUGUAAGGGAAGAACCAGUACGUCAGGCAAUGGACGUACCUUGACGGUACCUUAUUAGAAAGCCACGGCUAACUACGUGCCAGCAGCCGCGGUAAUACGUAGGUGGCAAGCGUUAUCCGGAUUUACUGGGUGUAAAGGGCGUGUAGGCGGGACUGCAAGUCAGAUGUGAAAACUAUGGGCUCAACCCAUAGCCUGCAUUUGAAACUGUAGUUCUUGAGUGUCGGAGAGGCAAUCGGAAUUCCGUGUGUAGCGGUGAAAUGCGUAGAUAUACGGAGGAACACCAGUGGCGAAGGCGGAUUGCUGGACGAUAACUGACGCUGAGGCGCGAAAGCGUGGGGAGCAAACA
rnacentral:rRNA from 1 species